GAUGAACGCUGGCGGCGUGCUUAACACAUGCAAGUCGAGCGAAGCAGGUAAGUUGAUUUCUUCGGAUUGAUUCUUAACUGACUGAGCGGCGGACGGGUGAGUAACGCGUGGGUGACCUGCCCCAUACCGGGGGAUAACAGCUGGAAACGGCUGCUAAUACCGCAUAAGCGCACAGAGCUGCAUGGCUCAGUGUGAAAAACUCCGGUGGUAUGGGAUGGGCCCGCGUCUGAUUAGGCAGUUGGCGGAGUAACGGCCCACCAAACCGACGAUCAGUAGCCGGCCUGAGAGGGCGACCGGCCACAUUGGGACUGAGACACGGCCCAAACUCCUACGGGAGGCAGCAGUGGGGAAUAUUGCGCAAUGGGGGAAACCCUGAUGCAGCGACGCCGCGUGAGCGAAGAAGUAUUUCGGUAUGUAAAGCUCUAUCAGCAGGGAAGAUAAUGACGGUACCUGACUAAGAAGCCCCGGCUAACUACGUGCCAGCAGCCGCGGUAAUACGUAGGGGGCAAGCGUAAUCCGGAUUUACUGGGUGUAAAGGGAGCGUAGACGGCAAGGCAAGUCUGAUGUGAAAACCCAGGGCUUAACCCUGGGACUGCAUUGGAAACUGUCUGGCUCGAGUGCCGGAGAGGUAGGCGGAAUUCCUAGUGUAGCGGUGAAAUGCGUAGAUAUUAGGAAGAACACCAGUGGCGAAGGCGGCUUACUGGACGGUAACUGACGUUGAGGCUCGAAAGCGUGGGGAGCAAACAGGAUUAGAUACCCUGGUAGUCCACGCCGUA
rnacentral:rRNA from 1 species